rnacentral:sRNA from 4 species
AUAUCUCUCCGUACGGGAAGGAUGAGAAGCUUCGACUAAGGUUCGAUUCGAGCGUCAGCGAGAAAGCGUUGCCGCAGGCAACGACCCGAAGGGCGAAGCGCGCAGCGCUGAGUAAUCCUUCCCCCACCACCA